rnacentral:lncRNA from 13 species
CCUCUAGGAUUGGAACUAUUGUGUCCAAGACCAAUUGGUCCUAAUGUAGAACUGGAACCUGUUGUAAGCCAUUAAACUGGAGCUAAACCCCAAAUAAUCUGAAAGUUGUGUAAUGUCCUGCUCAGUGAAGGCAUGCAUUCCUGGAAGAGCAGAGGUCCUGAGAAUGUCAAAAGCUCUUGAAAACAGGUCCAGUUUCCACUUUGCCAGACGCUAUGCCAAAGACUGCUCUGAGAGCUAAUUUUGGAUAAUGAGCAAUCAGCAAGGGCAGAACAUCCUUCUUUUCCCUCUCUGGAUUUUGCCAGCAAACAGCAGUAGGCUAGCAGCUCUACAUGGAAUCUCCUGGCCAGCAGCUCUCACAAGGAACAAGAGUCCAGGGCAGGAGCUUCAGAAAGCCAAGCCCUUGGGCCCCUUUCAUCUCAGCCCCUGCUAUAAUUGUAACACCUGCUCUGGAGUUACACGGAGGGCUGAGCCGAUAAAGGUGGUGGUUUGCAGACCUGAGCACACUGGAGUGCCUGAGCUUUUUGGAAGGCCCUGCUUUCCCUGGCCCAAAUCCAAUACACCACUUAGACAUCUGCUUAACUUUAAGCAUGUGAGUAUCCCCUUUGAAGUCCUAUGUAUAUUGUUUUGCUGGACUGAGGUCAAUGAGCUCAGUACCUUGCAGGAUUGAGCUCCUGAAUGUCAGAUUUGAUUAAAUGCUCCCCUUUUCUUCCCCCCUCCUUCUCUCCUACCAUGAAAGCCCGACCAGACCUAAAACAGCCUCAGAAAAAAAAAAAAAAAAAAAGAAAAAAAAAAAAAAAAAAUAAAAGAAAAGGCAGGCAGCUGUUGGGAAGUGAGCCUGGCUCAGCUGUGGUAGCUUGGUUUUAAACUGUUGCAGAUCCAACCAGAAUAAAAGCAGUGCAAAAAAUCCGAUUGGAGAUCUGGUUAAAAAUUAAACCAUCUACACUUUCCUAAGGGAGCUGGAGAAUCUCAGCUAGAAGUGAGUGUAUAUUGAUUGUGAUAGUGCUGCCUUUUUCUCCUUAAACUCUUGGUGCUCUUGCUUCACGGGUAUGACUGUCUGUUUUAUCUAAGUGCGCCUUGUUAAUUGUCCUCCUGUUUCUGUUUUUUUUCCCCGUGGCUCCAAAACACACUCUCCACAAGUGGAAAGGACCGUGCUCUCUCUCCCCCAGUCUGUUCCUUGUCAAUUCGCAUCAGUUUAAGGUCAGGAAAGCUAACGGGGAACAAGGCACUGCAGCAUUUGAACUCAACCUUGCCUUCCCAAGGAACAAACUGACAAUUAGUACAGGGAUCAGCAUCAAAAAAGAGCAACCCAGCGUGAAGCCUGUCUAAUUAGUCAUAUGAACGGAGGGCUUCCCCUCCACUUCCUCAGGAACACAUGCCUGUCAGAUCUGAUACAAAGAGACUUCUCUCCCUAACAUAAUACUGAAAUUAGGUUGAGAACAGGUAGCCCUGCUUGUUUAAGCAACAGGAGGCUUAGCUGCAGGAUCAACUUGCACACCCGUAUCCACAGUUGCAGCGUGCUUAUGACCAUGUGCUUUGCAAGUGAUUGCAGGAUGUUUCCUUCCUUGCAAAACACAGAGGAAAAAAGAAAAAGAGUUGGUCAUGUUGCUAAUCUUCUCGAUUUAAUAACACUUCUUGUUUAGAUGGAAAACGAGCAAGGGGAAAAAUUAGAGAUGAAAGCUGAAUGACAGUCUCCUAAUCUCAGAGAAUUGUGCUGGUUGAGAGACUUCAUGUGUCUGACUUCUUUUUUUUUUUCUUUAUGAACCAAACAUGCCUUGAUCCCCUACAAUCUGAAAGACAAAAUAAGUAUAACUUAAAACUUGGAUUACUGCUAAUUUUGCUGUUGUAUUUGGAUAGUGGCUAACCGCUUGAAAUUAAGAUCCUGUUGCAUUCACUCUGUGAUGAAGGCGACAACCCAAGCUCAUGCAGUCUAACAGCUUGUCUAUACAGAGACACACAGAAAAAAAAGAACAAGUGAAAUGAACUAAAAGUGUAUCUUUUAUGAUUAAUUAUUUAAAUUCCUAAGUCAAACUCCUAACUCAGGGUUUAAAAGUCCUUCAUCUUAUUCUGUGAUUCUGUUGAAUUUACUUUGUAAGUGAAGCAAAUAGCAUGAAAUAAAACCUGCUUUUACCAUAUCCUGAAACUUUUCUGAUGUGGGCUGCAGAAUGUAUUUGGCAUGCUAGCAAUUCUGAAUUUUCAUUUUGCUCUUGAACAUAAGGUAUGUUUUAUAAUGCCAUGGCUUAUUUCUGGAAAGAGAAAGGAAUAAACUACUUGGACAUAUAGAACUUUUGCAUAGAGGUGAAGGAACAUCUGCAUAGGUGCUACGUGCAUAUAGUAAGGAAAGAAGAAACACACUCCGACCACUGCCGUCGUUUAGGCAGCGCAUCUGCUGGGUUUUUAUGAUGGUGACAUGUUGCACUUUCUCUCUUUCCCUCUCCUUUCCCUCUCCUUUCCCUCUCCUUUCCCUCUCCUUUCCCUCUCCUUUCCCUCUCCUUCUCUCUCUCUCUUUCUCUCUCUCUUUCUCUCUCUCUCUCUUUCUCUCUCUCUUUCUCCCAUUUCUCCAAAGUACUUUACGCCUCAGUUUCACUGAUACAUCUGUCCUUUCAGACAAACUCUCUGUUCCUUCUGUAGGGGCUGCCAAACAGCUAUCAGAGAAGUUUGCU